CGCCGGGAUGCGGCCGCUGACAUCACAAUAGCAGCCGCCCUAGGCUGGAUUGUGAAUUCAUGCAUAGAACCAGACCUGCUCUACACCUAAUGCCAAAAAAAGCCUGCAAAGUUCUCCUCUGCUACAAAGCAACACAAAAAGCCCUCCUAGUCCAUCACCUGUUGCUCAAGGCAUGUAAGAGUAGAAACACAGUGAGCCCCUAGAGCCCACACUGAGAAGCUGAGCACUGAGAAGGGACCAGGAUGUGAGGAACCACAUUAGUGGUCUUUGGCCACUAUUUCUGCUGAGCAAAAAUCAGAAGGCUUGUUCCUUUGUUCUAGAAAUCAGAAAACAAGGAGAAGAAGCACUGCUUUAAUUACAUUUAGAGGUUUCUCCUAGGGAGGCCUUGGGACCAAAGCACCACCACCAUUUUUUCCCCCAUUUUUCUCCUUCCACAAUAUUGCUCAGGAGGCGGGGCUGAAAUGGGUGGCACGGAAGCGGCAGCUCUGACACACAGCUGAAACCAUCAGGGCCAGGGUGGCAUGUGGGACUGUUUUUCCACUGCAACAGAACAAGGCAAGCCAGAGUGGUGACACUGAUCCCAAGAGAGAGAGGAGAGGCUUUACAAGGACUACCUCAAGAAGAGGACAUAGAAUGGAGGGAAGGCCUUAGAAAGAAUAAACAACCCUCAUGCUGCUGCUUUUGGAAGGAAUAAAUGUCCAAGUUACUUAAUAUCCAGACACAAAUCUGUGGAGUCUUGACAGCCAAGAAGCACAGGAACCUGGACACCUUGUUGUGAGAGACUAGAGGAGAUUGCUGGCUCAACACUUUUCAGGGGCUUGUAUGUGGGGAAGGGGCAGAUCAAGCCUUGUUCUGGUGAGG